AAGGUGGGCAGACUUCAUCAGGAACUCAUCUCUGGUACAGAACUAACGUCUCUGAAUCGAACAACACUGGCAACAUGUUACUAAGUACCGGCCUUUGUCAGCCUCACCUAAACGUUGCGUUUCUGAAGGUUCACAAAUGCGGCUCUACUACAGUAGCCAACAUGAUCUAUCGCUUUGGCUACAAGCAUAAAUUAUUUGUUGCUUUAGCACCGAAAAGUGCCCACUCCAUCAUAGGCAGCUUUGGUAUCAUUAGAAAUAGUGACUACAAGCAUCCACCUGGCGAAAAACGCUGGAACAUCUUUGCUACCCACGCUAUAUACAAUAG